ACGGAGGGUGCAAGCGUUACUCGGAAUCACUGGGCGUAAAGAGCGUGUAGGCGGGUUGAUAAGUUUGAAGUGAAAUCCUAUAGCUUAACUAUAGAACUGCUUUGAAAACUGUUAACCUAGAAUAUGGGAGAGGUAGAUGGAAUUUCUGGUGUAGGGGUAAAAUCCGUAGAGAUCAGAAGGAAUACCGAUUGCGAAGGCGAUCUACUGGAACAUUAUUGACGCUGAGACGCGAAAGCGUGGGUAGCAAACAG
rnacentral:rRNA from 1 species